rnacentral:ribozyme from 1 species
UUUAGUUUUUUGUUUUUUUUUUAAUUGUUUUUUUUUAAUGAAUAAAAGAGGGCAAGAAUAAGGAAAGGAAGA